CCUACGGGGGGCAGCAGUGGGGAAUAUUGCACAAUGGGGGAAACCCUGAUGCAGCGACGCGGCGUGAGUGAAGAAGUAAUUCGUUACGUAAAGCUCUAUCAGCAGGGAAGAAAAUGACGGUACCUGAGUAAGAAGCCCCGGCUAACUACGUGCCAGCAGCCGCGGUAAUACGUAGGGGGCAAGCGUUAUCCGGAUUUACUGGGUGUAAAGGGAGCGUAGACGGUGCGCCAAGUCUGGAGUGAAAUGCCGCAGCUUAACUGCGGAACUGCUUUGGAAACUGGCGAACUAGGGGGCGGGAGGGGGAAGGGAAAUCCGUGGUGUAGGGGUGAAAGGC
rnacentral:rRNA from 1 species